rnacentral:rRNA from 1 species
GUGUAAGUGCAGUAAUGUAUUUAGCUGACCGGUACUAAUAGGUCGAGGACUUGACCUUACUAC